rnacentral:rRNA from 1 species
CGCUGGCGGCGUGCCUAAUACAUGCAAGUCGAGCGGGUUCUGGGAGGCUUGCCUCCUGGAAUCAGCGGCGGACGGGUGAGUAACACGUGGGCAAUCUGCCUGUCAGACCGGAAUAACGCCUGGAAACGGGUGCUAAUGCCGGAUAGAGCAAUGGGCAGGCAUCUGCCUGUUGGGAAAGGCACAAAUGUGCUGCUGACAGAGGAGCCCGCGGCGCAUUAGCUAGUUGGCGGGGUAACGGCCCACCAAGGCGACGAUGCGUAGCCGACCUGAGAGGGUGACCGGCCACACUGGGACUGAGACACGGCCCAGACUCCUACGGGAGGCAGCAGUAGGGAAUCUUCCGCAAUGGGCGCAAGCCUGACGGAGCAACGCCGCGUGAGCGAAGAAGGCCUUCGGGUUGUAAAGCUCAGUCACCCGGGAAGAGCGACCUGUGGAGUGGAAAGCCGCAGGGGAGACGGUACCGGGAGAGGAAGCCCCGGCAAACUACGUGCCAGCAGCCGCGGUAAUACGUAGGGGGCGAGCGUUGUCCGGAAUCACUGGGCGUAAAGCGUGCGUAGGCGGUCAAGCAAGUCCGAGGUGAAAGACCGAGGCUCAACCUCGGGGUGGCCUUGGAAACUGUUUGACUUGAGUGCUGGAGAGGCAAGGGGAAUUCCACGUGUAGCGGUGAAAUGCGUANAUAUGUGGANGGAAUACCAGUGGCGAANGCGCCUUGCUGGACAGUGACUGACNCUUNAGGCACNAAAAGCGUGGGGGAGCAAACAGGGAUUANAUACCCCUGGUAGUCCNCNCCNGUAAACGAUGA